rnacentral:lncRNA from 1 species
CCAAGUUGUACAAUUUACAGAGGUAAAACACAGAUUGAGGCAAAGAAAACUAAGGGCAGAAAACUUCCCGUGAAAUAACUAUAAUAAUCAUGACCUUGAACUUAUCCAGUUCUAGGGUUUUUCGCACAGAAGCUAAAUUCAAGUAUGAGUUCCAGUUAAAAGUUACAGUGUACAUUAAAGAAUUUGAAGGGUGGCUCCUCUUAUCUAUUUCAGAAGCUACCUGGUAUUCACACGAGAAUAAUACAAGAGACAAAAACAUUAGAUAUAGCUUCAUCAAAGCCUGCCAGCUUCCGUUGG